rnacentral:rRNA from 1 species
CAGUAGCCGCGGGAAUACGAAGGGGGCUAGCGUUGUUCGGAAUUACUGGGCGUAAAGCGCACGUAGGCGGAUAUUUAAGUCAGGGGUGAAAUCCCGCAGCUCAACUGCGGAACUGCCUUUGAUACUGGGUAUCUUGAGUGUGGGAGAGGUGAGUGGAACUCCGAGUGUAGAGGUGAAAUUCGUAGAUAUUCGGAAGAACACCAGUGGCGAAGGCGACUCACUGGCCCAUUACUGACGCUGAGGCGCGAAAGCGUGGGGAGCAAACAGGAUUAGAUACCCCUGUAGUCCCUGUCUCUUAUAC